rnacentral:misc_RNA from 1 species
GUCUCCGUUGGUGAACCAGCGGAGGGAUCAUUAUCGAGUUUAUAACUCCCAAACCCUAUGUGAACUUACCACUUGUUGCUUCGGCGCGCGCUUCGGCGCCGCCGAGGACACUUAAACUCUUUGUUUUUAUAAGCAUUUCUGAGUGGCCGAAGGGCAAAAUACAAAUGAAUCAAAACUUUCAACAACGGAUCUCUUGGUUCUGGCAUCGGUGAAGAACGCAGC